AGAGCAUAUUGAAUAGAACAAUGCAGCUUAGAGCAGCAGCUGCUGAUUGUUUCAUUGACUGACACAAUCACGGAAAUGAGAUACAUCAGGUAUAAAAGUGUAUUCAUCUCCUUUCCGAUCAGCAACGGUUUCACGUCAGAUUCCAGCGAUGAUUAUCUAUUCAGAGAGGUGUUAUUGCGAUAGAAUGAAUAGAGGAAUCAGCAAUCUUGGGAUAUUCAACAAGAAAAAAACAUGGAGGAUGGAGUUUCAUCCACCAGAAAUUGAUUGGAUUGUGAAAAGUGAGUGUCCCAUACCACUAUGGAGUCAGACUGAAUGGCAAAACAGUGCUUAAGCUUCAGUCUGGAUCCAGAACACCUGAGAAGAGAUGAUGCUGACCCUCAGAGGACCUCUGAUGCUAACCUUGAAACAACAUAGAGAACUAACAAAUAUUGCUACAAUUGUGAUUCCAUCAUAUAAUAAUUGCUAUUAAUAAUGUUCAUCAUC